AAGUUCUAAUUGGAUACGCGGUCGUCCUACUGACGAAAAGACUGCUCAGGUAUUAACAGUCGGUGAAACAAAGACUACAUCCAGGUCUUUAAUCGAUUCCAGUCUAGGCAGUACAACGCCGUCAAUGCAGCAGCGGUGCUCUUUACCGAGUGUCGAGGUGGGCCGGUACGUUUACUUUGAACAAAUUAGAGUGCUCAAAGCAGGCUAUGUUCGCCUGAAUACUGUGUGCAUGGAAUAAUGGAAUAGGACCUCGGUUCUAUUUUGUUGGUUUUCGGAACCCCGAGGUAAUGAUUAAUAGGGACAGAUGGGGGCAUUCGUAUUGCGACGUUAGAGGUGAAAUUCUUGGAUCGUCGCAAGACGGACAGAAGCGAAAGCAUUUGCCAAAAAUGUUUUCAUUAAUCAAGAACGAAAGUUAGAGGUUCGAAGGCGAUCAGAUACCGCCCUAGUUCUAACCAUAAACGAUGCCAGCUAGCGAUCCGCCGAAGUUCCUCCGAUGACUCGGCGGGCAGCUUCCGGGAAACCAAAGCUUUUGGGUU
rnacentral:ncRNA from 1 species